GGAGGGGAGCCAAGGCAGAGGCUGCAGGGGACUGGCACCGAGCGAGGCUCAGGGCUCAGGGCUGGCGCUCUCCUGGCAGCAGCAGAUGAGAGCAGUGCUGAGCCCGGGCCCUUUUCUGGCUCCUCUCCCUGCCACCCCACGGCUGCUCUGAAACACCUGUCUCUUGUGUACUGGAGAAGGAAUGGUGUGUGUGCCAUCCUGUGCUGGCUUUGCUGCCAUCCUCAGCAUCCUCCACUGGAAGGUGCCUGAAUCUGUGUGCUCCCACUUGUAUUUUGUUCACAGCAACCUUAACAUCUUUCUUAGAG